AUGGUGCAAAAGAUUGCAAAAGAUAGUGAUGAUAGAAUGCAAUUUAAGCGUAUUGCUGACCUUUGGGAAAAGAGGGAGACUAGCCGCAAUUCGGCGACAUCUGAAAUGAAGGAGGAUCCUGUGAGAGAUGAGAUUAAGGAGAUGAAGGACAUGGUGGUGAAUGAUGGAGGUAAACUUGGAAGUGAAGUGUAUUUUCAUGCUCUAGAACUCUUUACGAAGAAGGAACAUCGUGAUGUCUUCAGUGCACUAAAGGAGGAAGAUUCAACUGUGAGGCUUGAAUGGAUCAACAGGGCAUGGGAAACAUUUAUGAAAAAAAAUUAG
rnacentral:rRNA from 1 species